GGCGCACGCGCGAAAGGCGCGGUUUCCGGAUCGACCGCUCCCCGCCUCUCGCCCCUCCCGCCCGCAAGACCAGCCGCGGCGCGUCGACAUAGAGCUGGGAAAAAGGCAAGAGUCGCGAGUCCGGUGUUCCGUGGCGGGAAACGCCCGUGUCCGUUUUGGCGCACUGAGGGAGGCAGAAGAGCGGAGAUGGCGGCGGCCGAGCGGCACCCACCCAAUGCAUUGAGAAAAGGGAGAGACUGUAGCUCAGCAGAAGACCACAUGUUUUGCAUAGCAUUCAGUCCUUGCCACCUCCAGUUAAAAUUGAUCAGGUUAACAGGUGAUCGCCGAAGAAUUGAUGCUUUUGAAUUAUGGUGCUGCAGGAGACUCUUGAGAGUCCCGUGGACUGCAAGAAGAUCAAACCUAUCCAUUCUUAAGGAAAUCAGCCCUGAGUGCUCACUGGAAGGACAGAUCCUGAAGCUGAGGCUCCAAUACUUUGGCCACCUCAUGAGAAGAGAAGACUCCCUGGAAAAGUCCCUGAUGUUGGGAAAGAUGGAGGGCCCAAGGAGAAGGGGACGACAGAGGACGAGAUGGUUGGAUAGUGUUUUCGAAGCUACCAGCAUGAGUUUGACUAAACUGUGGGAGGCAGUGGAAGACAGAAGUGCCUGGCUUGCUCUGGUCCAGGGGGUCACGAAGAGUCGGACACGACUAAACAACAACAACAACAACAGGUGACAGGAAAGAUCUAUCUUUGCUCAAGACCCCUGGACAGCCCCUGCCAAUGGGGAGUAGACAAUACUGGGCUAGAGGGGCAAAUACUCUAUCCUGGAGCUUCGUAUGUUCCUUUAUGUAGUACAAUAAAGAGCCCAAGACCAAUUUUCCUGUUGAUGUAUCUCCACAUCCUCUCUGCCCUUUGAUGCCCUGUGGAAUGUCCUUCUGAAAAUUGGCUGCCCAUGGAAGACAAUCUUACUCGGCUACGAGUGAUCGCCAAAGAGGAAGAAGAAGCAUCCUCUCUUUGCUGCUCCCCCUACUGGAUCCAACCAAGAGUAGCAGGACAGUGGGCCAUUACAGUCACCUCUAGCGAUGGCCAAGAGCAGCUCUGCACCUUUACAUGGUUGCACUUGCUGCGGUUCCUCCGUGUUUCCCUGCCGCUGUUGUGUGAAGCCAAUACAACCAGUGUGCUUCCUUCAACAUCCACAUUCAUGUGUUGGAUCCACAGCUCAAGCAAGCCUAACCCCCUCAGGAAUAUGCAUGCGGGUGUUUCAAGGACACCCUUUGCUCUGGAUAUGUAGUUAACUUGCUUAAUUCCUUAAGUGGUGUGAUGUAUUUUAACCUAAUCAAUGUGAUAUAUUUAAGCAAACUAAAUCAAAGCUCCUUACAACUUUUAAAAAAACCACCACCACCACCCUACAACGGGUGAAUAAUUUAGUCAAAAAACAGAACAAUCUAGCGAAUAAAACAAUCUCACAGCUGGGAGGCUUAUAUAAAAAGACGUUUUCAGACCCUUCUGAAACCCCUGCAGUGUUAUUAACAUGACACAGAUCUGACAUACAGCAAGGGAGAGACGCCAGGGCUCUCCGUGUUCCCUUCCAAGUCCUUUCCACUUGCUGUGGCUCAUACCUGGAUCCCCAUGGGCCACUGCAGGCGAGGGAGAAAGCUGAAUGGCAGCAAGAGUAGGGAGCAAUUCGGGCAGAGGAGCCACACCAGUUUCCUCACAUGCUGUAGUGGGUUUAAAACAAUGUCUCUUGUGUCCGAGGUGAGAUGUGGCAAAAUCAUACCAUCUAUGCCAGAAAUGGGGAACUUGUGGCCCUCCAAAUGUUGCUGAGCUCCCAACUCCCACUAGGCUCAGCUGUCAUGGCCGAUGGGAGUUGUAGUCUGCAGCAUCUGAAGUGCCACAUGUUCCCUAUUCGUUGUCUAUACUUGAUGAACCAAAGCCUCUAAUGUACUAUUGUGGAGCUGCUCUUGGACACAAGCUUCAGUAGGCCCAAGACAUCUAGUGGUGGCACUGGUAAGGUAAGGAGGGACAGAAGACCUUGACAUGAGCAGCCCACUUGGAGAGGUUCUCACCGCCCAGCUAGCCAUAGGAAUAAGCUCAAACUCAUAUACCAAUGGUGGUCUCGCAGAACUUCUCGUCGGCCACCUCGUUGGCGAUGUUGGCCCCCAUAAGCACACUCAUUUCGAUGCCAAGCUGCUCGCGGAUGAUGUCCGAUAUCAGCUUCAGACCAUCGGGUCCUUCAUCCACACCCUGGGAUUCAACAGAACAUGACGUGGUCAGUGGGGUAUCUCUGCUGAGAUCCCUCAAGUAGCCCCUAGUCCUUCUGAGAGCAUCCUUAUCCCCCAAAGAGAUGCAACAGCAUACAAUAGAUGUUGUGGCUAGCGGUGGCUGCUCCCAGACUUUGGAACACCCUUCCUAGAGAAAAUGGACUGGCUCCCUCCUUGCUGUUGGACUUUCUUGUUCCAACAGGCUUUGGGGAACUGACUAGCUUUAAGGAAAAGGCUGGCAGAGCCAGUGUGGUGUAGUGGUUAAGAGCAGUGGACUCGUAAUCUGGUGAACUGGGUUUGAUUCCCCGCUCCUCCACAUGCAGCUGCUGGAUGACCUUGGGCUAGUUACACUUCUUUGAAGUCUCUCAGCCCCACUCACCUCACAGAGUGUUUUUUGUGGGGGAGGAAGGAAAAGGAGAUUGUUAGCGACUUUGAGACUCCUUAGGGUAGUGAUAAAGUGGGAUAUCAAAUCCAAACUCUUGGUGCUGUGAUGUUUUUAUUGUAAGUAAAUUAAUAUAUAUUUUGUGUA